ACAGGUGUUGCAUGGCUGUCGUCAGCUCGUGUCGUGAGAUGUUGGGUUAAGUCCCGCAACGAGCGCAACCCUCGCCUUUAGUUGCCAUCAUUUAGUUGGGCACUCUAGAGGGACUGCCGGUGAUAAGCCGGAGGAAGGUGGGGAUGACGUCAAGUCCUCAUGGCCCUUAUGGGUUGGGCUACACACGUGCUACAAUGGCGGCGACAGAGGGCAGCGACCCCGCGAGGGUGAGCUAAUCUCCAAAAGCCGUCUCAGUUCGGAUUGUUCUCUGCAACUCGAGAGCAUGAAGGUGGAAUCGCUAGUAAUCGCAGAACAGCAUGCUGCGGUGAAUACGUUCCCGGGCCUUGUACACGCCGCCCGUCACAUCAUGGGAGUUGGCUUUA
rnacentral:rRNA from 1 species